GCCAGGUGUGGUGGCGCAUGCCUGUCAUCCCAGCCGCUCGGGAGGCUGAGGCAAAAGGAUCACAAGAGCAAAACCAGCCUCAGCAAAAGCAAGGAGCUAAGCAACUCAGUGAGACUCUGUCUCUA
rnacentral:sRNA from 1 species